ensembl:lncRNA
UGUAUUUUUUUCUCACCAUUCCACCUGUCCAGCUUUACCACUAAACUCAACAUUUAUACCAUCAAUACCUUCACAAAUAGCAUCACCAGUCUUAUCACUAUUUCCAACAUCCCAACAAUUUUCAAUGCAAGCCUUACCAUCAUCACUACAGUCAUCAUCGUCCCCAACCUUCACACCAUCUUCAUCAUCUGCAUCAUCAAACAGAUCAUCUUCAUCUUCACCAGUGUCGGCACAAUUAGCGUUAUCAUUCACACUAUCAUCAAUGCCACCAUCUUCAGCAAUAACUUUAUUAACCUCACUAUCUUUACUUACAUCCUCAUCACCAACAUUUAUAUCAUUAUCAUCUUUCUCAUCAACACCAUCUUCACCUGUCCCACAAUUGUCAUUAUCAUCACCAUUAUCUUCAUAACACCAUACUCAGCACAAUCUUCAUCAGUACCAAUAUCAUCAUCAUCAUCUUCAUCACUAACAUUACCAUUAUCAACACCAUCUUCAUCUAUCCCACUAUCAUCAUCAACCUCAUCAGCACAGCCCUCACAGUCAGCAAACUCUACAUCAUCUACCUCAUCCUUACUGUCAUCAACAGACUCGCAGCCUUCAUCACCAUCCACACCAACUUUAUCUUUAACAUUAACAUCUUCAUCAUUAUCAACACCUUCAGUACUAUCAACUCCACCAUCCUCAUCAUCUUUACCUUCCACAGCAGCAUCUUCAUCAGUCCCACUAUCGCCAUCCUCAUAUUCUUUUUUCUUCAUAUAUUUCUUCAUAUUCUGCACUAUUAUCUACACCAUCUUUAUCAUCAUCACCAUAUUCAAUACUAUCAACAACACCAUCCUCAUCAUCUUCAACAUUCUCAGCACCUCCUUCAUCAGACCAACUAUCAUCAUCACCAACAUCACCAUCUUCAAUACUAUCAACAACAUCAUCUCCACCAUCCUCAGCAUCAUCUUCAUAACUCCCAAUAUAAACAUCAGCAUCAUCAUCUUCUUCUAUACUAUCAUCUACGCCUCCUUUAUCACCAACCUUUCUUUCAUCUUUAUCAUCAUCAUCAACAACCGCCACUAG